GAUGAACGCUGGCGGCGUGCCUAAUACAUGCAAGUCGAACGCUUUGUGGUUCAACUGAUUUGAAGAGCUUGCUCAGAUAUGACGAUGGACAUUGCAAAGAGUGGCGAACGGGUGAGUAACACGUGGGAAACCUACCUCUUAGCAGGGGAUAACAUUUGGAAACAGAUGCUAAUACCGUAUAACAAUGACAACCGCAUGGUUGUUAUUUAAAAGAUGGUUCUGCUAUCACUAAGAGAUGGUCCCGCGGUGCAUUAGCUAGUUGGUAAGGUAAUGGCUUACCAAGGCGAUGAUGCAUAGCCGAGUUGAGAGACUGAUCGGCCACAAUGGGACUGAGACACGGCCCAUACUCCUACGGGAGGCAGCAGUAGGGAAUCUUCCACAAUGGGCGAAAGCCUGAUGGAGCGACGCCGCGUGUGUGAUGAAGGGUUUCGGCUCGUAAAACACUGUUGUAAGAGAAGAAUGACAUUGAGAGUAACUGUUCAAUGUGUGACGGUAUCUUACCAGAAAGGAACGGCUAAAUACGUGCCAGCAGCCGCGGUAAUACGUAUGUUCCAAGCGUUAUCCGGAUUUAUUGGGCGUAAAGCGAGCGCAGACGGUUAUUUAAGUCUGAAGUGAAAAGCCCUCAGCUCAACUGAGGAAUUGCUUUGGAAACUGGAUGACUUGAGUGCAUACAGGAAAGUGGAACUCCAUGGGUACCGGCGAAAUGCGUAGAUAUAUGGAAGAACACCAGUGGCGAAGGCGGCUUUCUGGACUGUAACUGACGUUGAGGCUCGAAAGUGUGGGUAGCAAACAGGAUUAGAUACCCUGGUAGUCCACACCGUAAACGAUGAGUGCUAGGUGUUUGAGGGUUUCCGCCCUUAAGUGCCGCAGCCAACGCAUUAAGCACUCCGCCUGGGGAGUACGACCGCAAGGUUGAAACUCAAAGGAAUUGACGGGGACCCGCACAAGCGGUGGAGCAUGUGGUUUAAUUCGAAGCAACGCGAAGAACCUUACCAGGUCUUGACAUCCCUUGACAACUCCAGAGAUGGAGCGUUCCCUUCGGGGACAAGGUGACAGGUGGUGCAUGGUUGUCGUCAGCUCGUGUCGUGAGAUGUUGGGUUAAGUCCCGCAACGAGCGCAACCCUUAUUACUAGUUGCCAGCAUUCAGUUGGGCACUCUAGUGAGACUGCCGGUGACAAACCGGAGGAAGGUGGGGAUGACGUCAAAUCAUCAUGCCCCUUAUGAUCUGGGCUACACACGUGCUACAAUGGCGUAUACAACGAGUUGCCAACCCGCGAGGGUGAGCUAAUCUCUUAAAGUACGUCUCAGUUCGGAUUGUAGGCUGCAACUCGCCUACAUGAAGUCGGAAUCGCUAGUAAUCGCGGAUCAGCACGCCGCGGUGAAUACGUUCCCGGGUCUUGUACACACCGCCCGUCACACCAUGAGAGUUUGUAACACCCAAAGCCGGUGGGGUAACCUUCGGGAGCCAGCCGUCUAAGGUGGGACAGAUGAUUAGGGUG
rnacentral:rRNA from 1 species